rnacentral:rRNA from 1 species
GACGAACGCUGGCGGCGUGCUUAACACAUGCAAGUCGAACGGAAAGGCCCUGCUUUUGUGGGGUGCUCGAGUGGCGAACGGGUGAGUAACACGUGAGUAACCUGCCCUUGACUUUGGGAUAACUUCAGGAAACUGGGGCUAAUACCGGAUAGGAGCUCCUGCUGCAUGGUGGGGGUUGGAAAGUUUCGGCGGUUGGGGAUGGACUCGCGGCUUAUCAGCUUGUUGGUGGGGUAGUGGCUUACCAAGGCUUUGACGGGUAGCCGGCCUGAGAGGGUGACCGGCCACAUGGGGACGGGGAUACGGCCCAGACUCUUACGGGAGGCAGCGGUGGGGAAUAUGGCACAAUGGGCGGAAGCCUGAUGCAGCAACGCCGCGUGCGGGAUGACGGCCUUCGGGUGGUAAACCGCUUUCGCCUGUGACGAGGCGUGAGUGACGGUAAUGGGUAAAGAAGCACCGGCUAACUACGU